ACGGGUGCGUAACACGUGAGUAAUCUGCCGAGAAGUGGGGGAUAGCUCGCCGAAAGGCGAAUUAAUACCGCAUGUGACUAGUGGGGACAUCUCCGCGAAGUUAAAGCCGCAAGGCGCUUCUUGAUGAGCUCGCGGCCUAUCAGCUAGUUGGUGAGGUAAUGGCUCACCAAGGCGAUGACGGGUAGCUGGUCUGAGAGGACGACCAGCCACACUGGAACUGAGACACGGUCCAGACACCUACGGGUGGCAGCAGUCGAGAAUUUUUCACAAUGGGGGAAACCCUGAUGGAGCGACGCCGCGUGGAGGAUGAAGGCCCUUGGGUCGUAAACUCCUGUCAUAAGAGAACAAGAAAGUGAUAGUAUCUUAAGAGGAAGAGACGGCUAACUCUGUGCCAGCAGCCGCGGUAAUACAGAGGUCUCAAGCGUUGUUCGGAUUCAUUGGGCGUAAAGGGUGCGCAGGCUGUGUGGUAAGUCGGGUGUGAAAUUUAGAGGCUCAACCUCUAAACUGCAUCUGAUACUGCCAUGCUAGAGGACUGUAGAGGAGAUUGGAAUUCACGGU
rnacentral:rRNA from 1 species